rnacentral:rRNA from 1 species
GAUGAACGCUAGCGGCAGGCCUAACACAUGCAAGUCGAGGGGUAACAGAUGUAGCAAUAUAUGCUGACGACCGGCGCACGGGUGAGUAACGCGUAUGCAAUCUGCCUCUAACUGGGGAAUAGCUCCCGGAAACGGAAAUUAAUACCCCAUACUAUCACAAAUUCGCAUGUUUUUGUGAUGAAAGCUCCGGCGGUUAGAGAUGAGCAUGCGUGCCAUUAGUUUGUUGGUGAGGUAACGGCUCACCAAGACCACGAUGGUUAGGGGUCUGAGAGGAUGAUCCCCCACACUGGUACUGAGACACGGACCAGACACCUACGGGAGGCUG